UGAGGAAUUUUGCGCAAUGGGAGCAAUCCUGACGCAGCAACGCCGCGUGGGUGAAGUAGGCCUUCGGGUCGGAAAGCCCUGUCAGGUGGGAAGAAGGGUCCUAUCAGGAAAGGGGUGGGAUUUGACGGUACCACCAGAGGAAGCACCGGGUGACUCCGUGCCAGCAGCCGCGGUAAUAUGGAGGGGGCGAGCGUUAUGCGGAAUUACUGGGCGUAAAGCGCGUGUAGGCGGGGGAGCAAGUCUGAUGUGAAAGCCCCGGGCUUAACCCGGGAAGUGCAUUGGAAACUGUUUUUCUUGAGUACUGGAGAGGAAGGGGGAAUUCCCGGUGUAGAGGUGAAAUUCGUAGAGAUCGGGAGGAAUACCAGUGGCGAAGGCGCCCUUCUGGACGGUUACUGACGCUGAGACGCGAAAGCGUGGGGAGCAAACAG
rnacentral:rRNA from 1 species